UACGUAGGGGGCAAGCGUUGUCCGGAUUUAUUGGGCGUAAAGAGCGUGUAGGCGGCUUUGCAAGUCCGUUGUGAAAACUCGAGGCUCAACCUCGAGACGCCGGUGGAAACUGCAAAGCUAGAGUCCGGAAGAGGAGAGUGGAAUUCCUGGUGUAGCGGUGAAAUGCGCAGAUAUCAGGAAGAACACCCGUGGCGAAGGCGGCUCUCCGGGACGGUACUGACGCUGAGACGCGAAAGCGUGGGGAGCGAACAGG
rnacentral:rRNA from 1 species